rnacentral:rRNA from 1 species
GACGAACGCUGGCGGCGUGCUUAACACAUGCAAGUCGAACGAAAAGAGGGAAAGAGCUUGCUCUUUCCGGAAUUGAGUGGCAAACGGGUGAGUAACACGUAAACAACCUGCCUUCAGGAUGGGGACAACAGACGGAAACGACUGCUAAUACCGAAUAAGUUCCAAGAGCCGCAUGGCCCAUGGAAGAAAAGGUGGCCUCUACCUGUAAGCUAUCGCCUGAAGAGGGGUUUGCGUCUGAUUAGCUGGUUGGAGGGGUAACGGCCCACCAAGGCGACGAUCAGUAGCCGGUCUUAGAGGAUGAACGGCCACCCGGAAACUGAGAAGCGGUCCAGACUCCUACGGGAGGCAGCAGUGGGGAAUCUUCCGCAAUGGGCGAAAGCCUGACGGAGCAACGCCGCGUGAGUGAUGACGGCCUUCGUGUUGUAAAACUCUGUGAUCCGGGACGAAAAGGCAGAGUGCGAAGAACAAACUGCAUUGACGGUACCGGAAAAGCAAGCCACGGCUAACUACGUG